UCUCGUCGGGAUACCUCCCAUCAGGAUACAUCCCGUUGGGAUGCAUUCUGUCAGAAUGCACCUCAUCAGGAUACAUCCCAUCGGGAUGCACCCCAUGGGGCAGCUCCCAGCUGUAGCA
rnacentral:precursor_RNA from 10 species